UUUUAGGUUGCUCCUAGCAUAAGCAGGACGUGUGCCAGCUGUAUGUUGUUCUGCCGAGCGGAGCACAUGCUCCCUGACACGAGCACGAGCACCCAGGGGGAAUACGCUGAGCAUCGUGAUCCCAGCACCCAGCACUCAGCACUCGCGGUUCCACAGCCGCUUCCAGCUGCCUUGCUGGGCUGGGCUGUAGGGCUCGGAGUGGGGCAAAGCAAGAGGAUGCAGGACGGAGCUGUCACCGUUCUGCUCUGCUCUGGAGGAUGGAGCUUCAAAAGCUGCUGUUUCUGUCUCCCUUUCAAUGUACCUGGACGGGAAGGUGCAGGUUUGCCAGGAAGAUCUUAGCAAAGCGGGAAGCAGAGCAGCAGCCACCUCCAGAAGAGUCAAGUGACACCCUGAGUCCUCCAAGUAGCAAACAAGGUUACGCCUCAUUGUAUAUUUUAUUUGGCAAACAAAUGACCCUUGCUUAAUACAGAUCACAUAAUUAAUUGGGCACAAGACAUCCUUACAUGUUAGCAGUUCUCUCGCCCUAGGAGCUUAAGAAAGCGAGCAGUGCAGGAACUUGGAAGCUGUGUUACACAUCGGGGCAGAAUGUGCCGUGGUGUUUGACCGUCCACCAAACAUCACGUACAUUGCUAGCAGCAAAUGGUACUCGUUAGAUUUGCCACAUGGGCUAUAGAUUGAGCACACAAAGGUAACUUUAUAAGCACAUUAUGGUAACUUUCUGUGUUGUCUUUGGACCUGGGAUUAUUUUCCUUUACGUAGAUUCUUACAUAGUGUCAGUCUCUUUAAUUAGCUGAAGAAUCUGUCCUGCCAACAGAGACUUUCCUUGUAGAUGCGAGCCGUACCCAGGGUCAUUAUGCAUACACUGCUUGCAGUGUUAAUAUCAAUUUAUAAGCAGCAGGAUUUCUGCCUGUGCCUCUGGAUGCGCACCAUAGCAGUGACACGCGGAGUGGCAGGAGGUCCUGUUGUCUCGUACCUUACGAAUGCUUCUUAAGAUGGUGUUCACAGGUUGUGAAAUCUCUGUGUUCACAGCGAUUUUCAGAACUUAGCUAAAGGAUUUUUGCCAUUUUGAUUCAUUGGGAUGCCAAGCUCCAGCUACGUGAGUGUUCUCAGUGCUUUGGAGAUGUUGGAAGGUAUAUGCCCGUUGCAGUCUGAGCCCACGCAGUGCAGCCUGAAGAGCUGGGAAGCUCUCAGUGCCAUGGGCCUGUGGUUGAUUUGGGAUAACCAGACAAACACUCCGUCGCCAAUAACUCAGGCUCAGGCGAGGAUCCCAGAGAAGCAGUAAUUUAUUUGGGAUUGCAUGGCGGGCGCCCCACAAGCAGGAGAGCGCCCCUCCUAGCUCCAAAACGCAGUUUGUAGACUUCUUGCUGACAGGACCCUCCCCUGUUUCCCCAUGGAGUGGGUAAUCCAGGUUCACAAUCUGAUGCUUCACAGACAAGGCAUGGCCUUCAGCUGCCAGCCUGUUACAUUUCACAUUUCUUUUGACGUUUUUACUGCUGGAAGUGGUAAAGUUGCUUCACUCCUCUGACUUAACACCGCGAUUUUCACCUAGUUGUCCUGAGGAGCCUGGUUGUCUGCAUUUUACAAGGUCGCCUGCUAAGCUUUCUUAUCACUGCAAGCAUAUCUCGGUACCACAUUCCUUCCCUCUAAACAAUGCAACUCUGCAAAAACAACAUUUCUAUUCCCACACCGCCGUUUGUCAGGGUGCUGGGGGCUUUGUGAGAGCAGAUCCCGAUGCAGGCAGUGAUGGUCGGUUCUGUGAGUCCUGGUGUUGGUGAUCAGCCAAGGGCAGCGAGGCGUUUUCAUCUCUUGAUGUGCUCAGAGGGCUGGGGCUGUGCUCACGAGGUGUGAGCUUUUCGGUGUCCCUUCUGAGCCAGUGUCCACCUACCUUGCCAGGAGUUUGAGGGUUUGCACAAUCCCUUGCACCUCAAGCGCUCGGGUUGUAGCUAGGAGGGGCUUCCCAAUGGUUGCAACUGCAGGUGUCAAAUCAGUAUCGUCAGAUGAACAAAAGUUAAUGACGGGCUAGAGCAUCAGUCCUCUCACAGGUGCCACGUUUAGUUGCAAUACACUGGGUCAGUUAUAGGAAUUCUCUGCUCUGUGUUGCACCGGGAGCUGGCACAGCACAGCCCCAAGGAGCUCGGGAGCAGCAGUGAGGUCUGCGUGGCAUCGCCGGACACAUGCUGGAUGUUAGCAGGGCUCGUGUGUGCAGUCAGCAGCAGUGCAGCACGCUCUGUUAUGAUUCAUUAGUCUGCUUUAAACACAGGCAGGAAAAAAAUAAAGCUACCUGAAAGCCGAGUAUUACUUCCUGCUGUGGCAAACGGAUUCUUUUGGGGCAUGUUUUGAAUGGGAUACUUGAGAGCAGGGCAUUCGGGUUUUACUGCAAGGCUUUUCCUACGUUAUUCAGAUGUAUUCAAAGCAAGUAUUGUUAUUUUUUAUUUUGCAACUGCUUUUUUUUUUUUAUGGAAGCUGAACAAAUAAUUAUGUAUGCAGCAUGGCUUAGCAUUGCAGCCUGCAUUGCUCUCUGACUGAAAACUCUGCUCACAAUAAACUUUUUUUAAGAAGUGAAAAUUCUACUGGGACUCUUAAAAUAUUUCAGUGAAAAAAAUAGAUAAUUUCAAUCAACUAACUCUUCGGUUUUGCACAUACAGUGGAAAACUCCACUUUCUUCCUAGAAUAUCAUUUGUGUGGCUUGAGUAACCAUUUCUCUUCGUUUAACAGGGAUUAGGCAGUGUGCUAGAAGAGGGAAAACAGCACAAGAGAAAUGGAAGUAGUAUGGUAGAAGAGGAGUAAAAUGAGAAGAAAAUGCAUUCAGAUAAUCAGGUAGAAGCAGAAUGAAACAAUCAAUACACAGAAAUAAUAUAAGAGCACCCAGCUUAGUACAAUGACAUUUUAUUUUCUGGAUUAUUGUGUUCUGCUAGGAGCGUAGGCUGGUACAAAUGCAGUGGUGGUUUUUGUUGUUGUUUUGGCUUGUUUUUUUUUUUGUGCAGUCCUUGCUAAAGCAGGCUCGGUGUGAUGGAGCAAGUGGAGGGGGAGCACGAGCUGUUACUGCUGUACCAUGCCCCCGAGGGGCACGGGGUGGUGCAGGGAGGAUGGUGAGUGCCCCAGUUCCUCCCCUGCACUGCACAAGGAACGUACGUGGAGUACAUCUGUGUUCACGGCUCUGUUUUUAUUUCGGUGGUGCACAGAAACAUGUUGAAAACUUUUUAAAACAAUCUCAUUAAUCGUAGACUUGAGGUCUGGCUUCUAAGAGUCGUGGCCAUUUAUUAGUUUCUUGGUACUGUCUGCUUCCAGCAUCGGUGACCCGUAUUCUGGGUGUCUUAACAACAAGGCACUGCUAAGUGCAUAACUGCUUUUCUUUUAACCAGAACUUAGCUCUUUAUCAUUGUGAGGUUUGCCAGUGGAAUUUGAAAUACUAGCGGAGGCGAAUGCAGUGCCCAAGUCAGCGUUCCCUGUCAUUAUUUGGUCAAGUAGAAAUUUUGUAAAUUCCUGUCACGUCAUAUUUCAGAAGCUUGGAGAGAAGCUUGUUAUUCAGAAAGCUGAAAACGGGACAGACCACCGGUCUUUUUUUUUCUUUUUCCAUAUAACGUAUGCUUACAGCAUCGAGUCAGACAGACCCAGCCAUCCUGGCUCAGACCUCCACUUGUCCUUGGUAGCUAAAGGUAACCCGUGGAAUAAUAUUAGUUCUUCCAGAACUGAACGCAGCUCAGAGCUGAAACUGCUCCCACAGCUGCUGGAACAUGGUAGUUAGAAAUACUGCCUUGCGAAGUGAUUUGUUCUGCACAUAGCUCUGUCCUUCCUAUCAGAACUGCAGCUCAAAACCUCACU
rnacentral:lncRNA from 1 species